AGGGGGCAGCAACAGGGGCUGUUGCCUGGUUGAAGGAGAGGGCGAUGUUGAGGAAAGAGAAGUGUAGAAGGUGGCGGAGAGAGAACACGGCUGGUUGCAGGUCAGAAGCGAAGACAGAGAGGCCCGUUAUUGGUUUUUUAGAGAGAGAGUGAGCGGCGGAUGUGUGUAUGAGUUGCCGGUUGCAGAAGAGACAAUGAGGGCUCACGAGGUCAGGGAGAGAGCAGCAGGUUGCUGAGACGGGCAGCAAGUGGCUGAGAAGGGCGGAGAUGGCAAAGGGGUUUAGAGAGAGAGCAACAGGCGAGGGUCGUGGCUGCUGCUGAUUGUUGCGGGAAGAAGAGGAUGAGGUGGUUAAGGCCAGAGACCGUGGAAGACAGGGUGAAGGAGGUUACGCACAGCCGGCUGUGGUCAUGGGCUUGGUGGUGAAGAAGGUUCGGUGAUGCAGGGCAGCGGGGUAUGGGUCGUGCACGGCAGUGGCAUGGAGAUGGGUUGUGGAAUUCACACACUGCGAUGGGUUGUGGAAUUCACGCAUGGCGUUGGGGUAGAGUUCGGGCAUGGCGAUGGGUUGGUUGCACAGACGGCGAUGGGUUGGUUGUACAGACGGCGAUAGGUUGGUUGCAUACACGGCGAUGAGUUGGUUGCAUAUACGGCUAUAGGAAGAAAAGUUAUAGGAAAUGAUUGUUGCGAGUGGAACCACGGAGCGUGAGAGGAAAAAAGAGACUACGAGGGUGCACAAUGGGGGGUGAUAUGAGGGUACAAGUAAAAAAAGAGGAGGGAGGUGGACAAGAGGGACUAUCAGAGGAUGGAGGAAGUGGAUCCGAAGGUGCAAAGGGAACAGGUGGACGUGCAAGGGAUAAAAAGAUAAAAAAAGAGAAAAAUUGUGGUAAUGCUGGACCACAAGGAGGGAGAGGAUAAGGUUGUAGUCGUGCUGAACCACAAGAAAGAGGGAAGAGGAGGGUCGUGGUCGUACAUGACUACAAGGGGAAAGAGAGAAAGAGAGAAAAAUAAAGUAUCUCACUCAAUGGUGAGACAGUUGAGUGAGGAGAGAAAAAGAGGGAAAGAGAGAGAAAUAGGUAAGAGAGGGAAGAGAGAAGAGAGAAAAAGAGAUAGAAGAGAGAAGAGAAAAAGAAAGAAAAAAGAAGAGAGAAAGAUGGAGAAGAGAGAACAGAGUGCAAGAAAGAGAAGAGAAAGAAAGAGGGUUACCUUAUGCCUAGGGGUAUCGAUCCAAAAAUUUCUCUAACUUUUUCUCUCUCCAAACAUGUGACCUAACAAUGAAGAAAGAUCAAAAUUUUAUUAAGCAAAGUGGGAUCCCUUAUACAAUGAUAUCACGUGAUAUAUAUAGACUUUUGCCCAA
rnacentral:lncRNA from 1 species